UCUCCAUCGUCUUCCUUUCUCCCUUUCUUUCUUCCUUCUUGUUCUUCUUCUCCCUUCUCUCUCUCCGACCACCAUCGUGGGUCUCAGGAGAACCACCAUCGUGGGUCUCAAGAGACCCACAUCCACCAUCUCUUGAGACCCAGCUGUGGGUUUCUUUGGAGAGGGCCUUUCCUUUGACUCACCAGGUCGAGCUCGACCGGCUCAGAUCCCGGGACAGAGCCAGGCACGCCAGGUUCUUGAGAGGCGCGGUGGGCGGCGUUGUUGACUUCUCGGUCCAAGGCUCCUCCGAUCCUUACUUUGUUGGGCUUUAUUUUACAAAAGUUAAAUUGGGCUCUCCUCCAAGAGAAUUCAAUGUACAGAUUGAUACUGGAAGUGACAUCUUGUGGGUUACCUGUAAUUCUUGCAGUGAUUGCCCCCAAUCUAGUGGACUUGGAGUUCAGCUCAAUUCUUUCGAUGCUGCCAGUUCAUCAACUGCUUGGGCUGGUCCCCUGCUUAGAUCCAAUUUGCAGUCUCUGUUAUAAGCUGCUGAUGUGGGCUGUUGUAGUUAUAUUUUUUAUGUUUAGUUUUCUGUUUUUGAUGCUUUGUUGUUGUGGUAUCGGGUGUUUCUGUUGUAAAGGUUUUAGUGUUUUGUGUUGUAUACUGCUUUGUUGUUGCAGUAAUGUGAUAAAAUAUUUUUUUCUC